GACGAACGCUGGCGGCGUGCUUAACACAUGCAAGUCGAACGGAAAGGCCCUGCUUUUGUGGGGUGCUCGAGUGGCGAACGGGUGAGUAACACGUGAGUAACCUGCCCUUGAUUUUGGGAUAACUUCAGGAAACUGGGGCUAAUACCGGAUAGGAGCUCCUGCUGCAUGGUGGGGGUUGGAAAGUUUCGGCGGUUGGGGAUGGACUCGCGGCUUAUCAGCUUGUUGGUGGGGUAGUGGCUUACCAAGGCUUUGACGGGUAGCCGGCCUGAGAGGGUGACCGGCCACAUUGGGACUGAGAUACGGCCCAGACUCCUACGGGAGGCAGCAGUGGGGAAUAUUGCACAAUGGGCGGAAGCCUGAUGAAGCAACGCCGCGUGCGGGAUGACGGCCUUCGGGUUGUAAACCGCUUUCGCCUGUGACGAAGCGUGAGUGACGGUAAUGGGUAAAGAAGCACCGGCUAACUACGUG
rnacentral:rRNA from 1 species